rnacentral:rRNA from 1 species
UACAUGGGGUGCAAACGUUGCUCGGAAUUAUUGGGCGUAAAGCGCACGUAGGCGGUUCGUUAAGUCGGAUGUGAAAGCCCUCGGCUCAACUGAGGAAGUGCACCCGAAACUGGCGAGCUUGAGUACGAAAGAGGAUCGCGGAAUUCCCGGUGUAGAGGUGAAAUUCGUAGAUAUCGGGAGGAACACCGGUGGCGAAGGCGGCGAUCUGGGUAGAUACUGACGCUGAGGUGCGAAAGCGUGGGGAGCAAACAGG